CCAGGCUGGACUGGUUGGUGCACCAAGCCAAAAGAAAUCUAGGAAUUCAAUUUAUUUCUGGUUCAGCCACCUGGAUUCUCUGAAUCACCCUUAGAGUCUUUCCCACUGGUGGCUCUUCUAAAUAAUUGGAAGCACCUUAAAUUUAACUGACCACUGGGUCUGACAUCCCUCACCAGAGAACUCUAUUGGAUCGCCAUUCCCUUUACUGUUACCAAGAAGUCUUUUGAAAACAGGAGAGGAGGAAUUCAUCUCCUAACGCUCUCACAGAAAACACCUGUGAACCACAAUUCACAAAGAUUAGAGUGGAUGGAAGCCACUUGAUUAGUGGUGCCUGCAAAUGAGACAGAUUAUACUGUCUCUCCUUAAUCAAAGACUAGACUCAAUGAUUCAAACUGAGCUGAGCACUUUAAAGCCAAACGGCCAACCAGAAGGCCAUCUUCAAAGACACUGUCAACUUGUAUCCCUGACUGAUAUGGAUCCUACUUUGGGGCCUCAACAAUUAUAAGCAGCAUAUUUCUUCUGAGGCACCAUGUGCCUCCUGGGACUGUAUUUUCUUGUAUGGAAGCCAGGUAUUAACUCUCUCCUCAAAAUACAAUGACCUUCACAUUA